rnacentral:rRNA from 1 species
GGAUAACCUGCCCUUGGGUCCGGCAUAACCCCGGGAAACUGGGGAUAAUACCGGAUAACGCAUAUAUGUUGGAAUUCCUUAUGCGUAAAAUGGAUUCGUCCGCCCAAGGAUGGGUCUGCGGCCUAUCAGGUAGUAGUGGGUGUAAUGUACCUACUAGCCGACGACGGGUACGGGUUGUGAGAGCAAGAGCCCGGAGAUGGAUUCUGAGACAUGAAUCCAGGCCCUACGGGGCGCAGCAGGCGCGAAAACUUUACAAUGCGGGAAACCGUGAUAAGGGGACACCGAGUGCCAGCAUCAUAUGCUGGCUGUCCGGGUGUGUAAAAUACACCUGUUAGCAAGGGCCGGGCAAGACCGGUGCCAGCCGCCGCGGUAACACCGGCGGCCCGAGUGGUGAUCGUGUUUAUUGGGUCUAAAGGGUCCGUAGCCGGUUUGGUCAGUCCUCCGGGAAAUCUGACGGCUUAACCGUUAGGCUUUCGGGGGAUACUGCCAGACUUGGAACCGGGAGAGGUAAGAGGUACUACAGGGGUAGGAGUGAAAUCUUGUAAUCCCUGUGGGACCACCUGUGGCGAAGGCGUCUUACCAGAACGGGUUCGACGGUGAGGGACGAAAGCUGGGGGCACGAACCGGAUUAGAUACCCGGGUAGUCCCAGCCGUAAACGAUGCUCGCUAGGUGUCAGGCAUGGCGCGACCGUGUCUGGUGCCGCAGGGAAGCCGUGAAGCGAGCCACCUGGGAAGUACGGCCGCAAGGCUGAAACU